rnacentral:lncRNA from 10 species
GCUCCAUGGGGAAGAAACCAUGCCUUAUUUGCCCUUUAUUCCCAGAGUACAUAGUGGUGACUCAGGGAUCCAAGCUGUCCCAUCCUGGAUUUGCAUCACUCAAUGUCACUUCAAAAGCGGGCAGGGGAAGAGUCUGGGAGAUUGCACGGGAUGUUUCUAAAGACCACCCCUGAAAGUGCCUUACAUCACUUCACCUACAUUUCUUUGAACACAGUCACAGAGAUAGAAGCUCACUGCCAGGAAUGCUGGGAAAUGUAGGCUUCCACUGUACCUGGGGAAAGUAAAGCCUAUAGCAAACACACAGCAGCUUUGACUCUGCCACAAGAGUUACAUCUGGAUUGGAAUUCUGCCUCUGUCUGCUAGCUUGGAGCUCUUUGGAUCUUUUUCUUCAUUCAAAACUUGGAACUAAUGACACCUACCCACAAGAUGUACAGAAUGUCACAUAUAUAGCUGUCAGAUAUUAAGAAUCAGACUUCUUCCUGAAUAGUGACUUCAAGGAUGGGUACUAUACUGAAAAUGGAAUGUCUCAGAUUGGCUUUCCAGAAAAGUGCCUGAGAUAAAGACAAGAAUAUAUCAAGGUUUCUGGGAAGACAAGUAAUGAAGUACAGGAAGCAGGAGAAGGGAAACAGGAGGAAGACAAACAAGGGGGCAACUUCAGGCAAAGCCUCACCAAACCCUAGAGCUAAGCAAAGCUUCGGAGCUGUCCCAUCCCUAGUGAAGGCUGUUGGACUUUCAUAUUCUCACCCUGAGAGUCGUUGGUCAAGGGCUGCCUGGUGUUGGGCGAGGGCCAAUGUAAACUCCCAGGAAUUGCAACUCUGCACAUAUCAGCAAGUGCUCUGGUAUCCUAAGGGAAGUUCUAAAUAAAAAUUUAAAAAAAUUAAAAUUAAAAAAGGACACAGGUUCCCACACUGAAGGCAAAAGCAUCUGAUACCUGGAAAGGGAUGCACAGAAAUGGUUAAAAAAAAGAUCCAAGGGGGAUCUUUAUGGAGCAGUCACACAUUGGCUAUAAAAAAAAAAUAACUGGCAGUUACAUAGUGAGCAGCGAGAACUGCAGCUGCAUUCCCUCACUCAGCAAUGAGAACAUCUGACAGCAAUGUGCCUGCCUCCCAGGUAGAAGAUGGGAGGCCACCUCUCUGGAAAAGCAGCCGUUCUGACAGAAAAAUCCAGAAGUGCUGAAGGUUUAGGGUUCCCAAAGGAUGAAGCUGAAUCAACCUAUAGUGAAUGUACAAAUAGACAACACACACACUCACACACACACACACACACACCCAUCUUAAAUAUAAACAAUCGAGGAGCACAAUAAAUUUAAGGAAUAUCUUAAGGAAAUCAAAGCAAACAAAAUUUAAAAAUAAACGUGUGAAAAAUCAAAGUAAUGUUUUUAAAUAAAAGAACACUGCAAUUGCUAUCCUCAGAAAGGCAAGAGAAAUUAUUUUACCCAUGAAAUAAGAAUCAGAGUUAUAUAAAAGGAGUUGACAUAAAACAAGAAUAAUUAAAAUAUCUUAAAAAGCAGAGUAGACAUAAAAGAUUGAAUAACAAUUUUGGAAGACAAAGUUAAGAAGAAGAAGAAAGAACUAG